ACUGCAGCCAGGUCCUUCAGGACUAGCAUCUGCUUUCCCGGGAUGCCUAGCCUCCCUGAGCUACCUGGCACCUCUUGCACCUUAGAGGUUUCCGGAAGUUCCAGCCACUUUCAAUACCAUGGCAGAACCCUGGCUUUUCUGCUGUCAGUGAACCAAGACUGUAUGCUGAGGUGCAGAUACUCACCUGGUGGGUAAGAGUAACCAGGACUGCAGAAACAACAGGAUCUGGAAGACAACAGGAUACCUGUAAACAUGAAAACACACGGUAAUGGACACCGUGGACAUGUGCUCAUAAGCAGUAUUCACAAAGGACGGGAGUGUCUGAGAAGGACUCAGGAGCCAGACACGUCCCUUCCUCUUACCUCCUGCAACGCCCCCAGAAGCUCCCC
rnacentral:lncRNA from 1 species